GAUGAAGAACGUAGCGAAAUGCGAUAAGUAGUGUGAAUUGCAGAAUUCAGUGAAUCAUCGAAUCUUUGAACGCACAUUGCGCCCUUUGGUAUUCCAAAGGGCAUGCCUGUUCGAGCGUCAUUUGUACCCUCAAGCUUUGCUUGGUGUUGGGCGUCUUGUCUCUAGCUUUGCUGGAGACUCGCCUUAAAGUAAUUGGCAGCCGGCCUACUGGUUUCGGAGCGCAGCACAAGUCGCACUCUCUAUCAGCAAAGGUCUAGCAUCCAUUAAGCCUUUUUUUUCAACUUUUGACCUCGGAUCAGGUAGGCAUACCCGCUGAACUUAAGCAUAUCAAUAAGCGGAGGA
rnacentral:misc_RNA from 1 species